AACGUAGGAGGCGAGCGUUAUCCGGAGUUACUGGGCGUAAAGCGCGUGUAGGUGGUUGGAUACGUCUGCUGUGAAAUGUCCCGGCUUAACCGGGAGGGUGCGGCAGAUACGGUCUGACUUGAGGGCGACAGAGGAGCGUAGAAUUCCGGGUGUAGUGGUGAAAUGCGUAGAGAUCCGGAGGAAUACCAGUGGCGAAGGCGCUCUGCUGGGCCGAAAACUGACACUGGAGAGACGAAAAGCUGGGGGAGCGAAUAGG
rnacentral:rRNA from 1 species